rnacentral:lncRNA from 1 species
UAUCCUCAACUGGGAUUCGACCAGAUGAUUUUCGGGGUGAUAACAGCGAUGUCUACGGUUUUAAGCCUCGUGGGUGAGGUCAGCUGCACGUACUACAUUGAAAUGGCCCCGGGAUACUUGCUUGACGACGAUAAUCAAAAACGGGUUACAAUAAAGGGGCUUCGUCAGCUGGAACCUGGGUUCUACUCGUGCAACAACAAGGAGGAAGAUUAUGGAUGGACGUUGAUGGAGUGUCUGGACGUCGGGUUCCACGAGGCCGACGAGAUCUACGCCACGACGACCUUCUUCACGGCCUACAGACCCUCCCUCCGGAUCGGGCAGGCGCUCCAACUGAACGGCAAAGACAUGAUCGAGCCACCGACCACUAUGCCGAUCGGCUUCCCGCUCGGCGGCUACCUCAGGCCCGAUUCCCCCCGGAUCAUGAGCUUCGUCGAGGAGCUGGACCCUCUUCACCGCGAGAUCGACGUCUUCGUCGCCAACGGCUGCCUUCCCGAUGAGGAAGGUGCCGUCGCUGCGCUUCGAGAGUACAUCACCUGUAACGACGUUAUGCUCUGCAUCUUCGCCGAUCCCGCGCACACCGUUAAUGAUCUGCUCCCGGUUGUUGGAAGAAUUUUGGACAGGGUUAAGAGGAUCCACGGAGAGCAGCACAAGUUGAGUGGCAGGGGAAGCCUCCUGCCUGCCGUUGGAGUGGGACGAAGACGUUUUCCGGGAUUUCCUGGACUACCUGAUGUGCAACGACGUCAUGAAAUGCCUCUUCAACCAGCCCGACGUCGUGAUACGACACAUGCUGCCAGCCGUGGCGGAUGCCGUGAGGAGGAUCAAUUGGAUCCACGGAAAGCACUUGAAACUAAGGAAACGGGUCAAGAAGGCAAUUAACAUAUUCAGAACCAUGACGGGUUCGGAUUCGGACCACGACGGACACCUGCCGAUCCCCUCCGUCGCGCAGUUGCGGGAAUUCAUCAAACUCGUGGUCAACAAACUCCUGGACCCGUGCGCCUUCUUGAAAUUCACCAAGAAACGCGUGGACAGACUCCGGGUCAACAGCAACUGCAGGUUCUACUGCCAGUUCUUCAGCACGGCCACCGACGUGUUCGGCCCGCACGUCCCGCUCCAAUGCACCUACCUCGUCGCCGGAACGUGCUCCGAGAGCACCUGCGUCUGCGACCAGGACGUCAAACUGACGGUCAAAAAGGACUCGCUGUAUUCCGGGAAGGUUCACAUGCUCUUGUGCGCUUAUAUAUUCAGACGCAAACUCAAUAAGAUCGAUCUGCCCAUAGACCCUAUUGUGCCAGCUAGGAACGACAGCCCUGCUUCUGGGUCGUCUUCUUUUGCGGAUUUUCCCUCUGACACUGAAGGCACACCCCAGUCGAAUCUCCACCCUCAGUCUAAACCCACCCCUAGGGUUCAAUCCUCCCCUGAGGCUCAAUCCACCCCUAGGACUCAAUCUACCCCUAGGACUCAAUCCACCCCUAGGACUCAAUCCCCCCCUGAGACUCAACCCACCCCUGGGGCCCAGUACCCCACAACGGUUCAAUCCACCCCUAGGGCUCAAUCCACCCUUAGGGCUCAAUCUACCCAUAGGACUCAAUCCACCCAUGAGACUCAACCCACCCCUAGGGCUCAGUCCCCCACUAGGGUUCAAUCCACCCCUAGGGCAAAGCCUAAUCCUGAAACGAUCAACGCUUCUAAACCUAAACGUCGAUCUAUGUAUAAAUCCCUCCCUGCCACUUCUCUCCGUACCGCUAAAAAGUCUCUCGAACGCCUCACGCCGUACCUGGCGAAAGUGUAUAAAUAUGUUUCGGAUGUUAAGCUCCGCUAUAGUAAGACUCAAGAAGAUGAAACGCCUAUGUAAGUGACUGCGUCAAUGAUUGUUGAGUCUAAACCCACCCCUAGGGCUCAAUCUCCCCCUGAGACUCAACCCACCCCUAGGGCUCAGUCCCCCACUACGGUUCAAUCCACCCCUAGGGCUUAAUCUACCCAUAGGACUCAACCUCCCCCUGAGACUCAACCCAGCCCUAGGGCUCAAUCCUCCCCAGGGGCUUAAUCCACCGCUAGGGCUCAAUCUACCCAUAGGACUCAAUCCCCCCCUGAGACUCAACCCACCCCUAGGGCUCAGUCCCCCACUAGGGUUCAAUCCACCCCUAGAGCUCAGUCCACCCCUAAGGUUCGAUCCACCCCUAGGGCUAAACCUGAUCCUGAAACGAUCAACGCUUCUAAAUCUAAACGUCGAUCUAUGUAUAAAUUCCUCCCUGCCACUUCUCUCCGUACCGCUAAAAAAUCUUUCAAACGCCUCACGCCUUACCUGGCGAAAGUGUAUAAAUAUGUUUCGGAUGUUAAGCUUCGCUAUAGUAAGACUCAAGAAGAUGAAACGCCUCAGUAAGUGAAUGCGUGAAUGAUUGGGCUACGCAGUGAAAAAAAAUUAAAACAAUUUAGUAAAAUUGUAAAAGAAAAGUAAAAUUGCGUUGAGCCUGGGCAUAAUUUGGUGUGCAUAAUGUUCGAUGUUGUAGUGGAUUCCUUGGACUGGGAGGGUGACUGGCUAACCAGGGAACAGGGAUCUCCUCGCAAAAGUGUGCGACUAAUUUUCAGUUGCAAUCAGCAGGGAUAUUCGUUUACAAGCUCGUUUAUUCAUUCAUUUAUUUUAUAAAAAUGUCAGUAUUAGUAAUAUUAAGAUGUGUGGCGUUUAGCACAAUAAUUUUCUUUAUGAUAAGAUGUUCUUCUAAUUCAAACUCCACUUUUUUUUAAUUAUUCGAACGAUUUCAAAUGAAAUUAAUUUAUUGUUACUGAGAAUAACAAUAACAGAACAAAUAAAUUUCCUAGAGAUAAAUAAAAUGCAAAAAUAUAUACUUUUUUGAUGAUGUUAUUCUCUUUGAUCUUGAUUUGAUUAAUUACAAUUUUAGGAGAGGCAAAUCGUACCCCCUUCAAUUUCUCCGAGGUUAUGAUUCUUAGGUUAUUGAACACAAGCAUUAUCACUAUCGAUACUAUUGUGAAAUCUAUGCUAGCAAGCUUUGCUCCAAAUGUUGUCAAUUAUUUCUCGCUCGAGCACUGGCUAUUUUUACGGCGUCCGCGUUCUGCUGAUCAUUUUAGAAUGUAUUCUGAAUUGUACAAGGCUAAAUUACCUGCUGUUAUGUAUUAAACGCAGCAUUCCAAAUCGUCAAAGAUACUCAUUCAGACUGACAAAUGUGUGAAAAAAUAAAUUUCCUAUAGAUAAAUAAAAUGCAAAAAUAUAUAACUUUUUGGGUAAUUUUAUUCCCUUGGAUCUUAAUUUGAUUGAUUAUAAUUUUAGAAGAAGCAAAUCGUACACCCUUCGAUUUCUCCGAAGGGAUGAUUCUUGGGGUUAUUGGUUUUGUUUUGGCGUCCAAUGGCGACAAAAAUGGAGCAAGAUAUCUACUUCAAUAGUCUCAUUACCUGCCACGAUGUGUCAUGGCGGAGAAGGUGGACUCACAGUGCAGCGUGAGAGAGCCUUACUAUUACGGCUUGAACUUCAAGAGUUUCUUUUCGAGCUUGCGGGAGCUGGUUUCCGAGAAAAAUGUGGCAUAAUCACGUUUCUCGCGAGGGGUAGAAGGGAAAAAUUCUGAAACUGUUAAUCCCGGGGGCAUGCAGACCUCAAUUUCAUCAGUGGCGUGGCGUGAAUUGCGAUAUAUCGAUUGUUAUACCAUUUAAACCUAUGGUAAAGAAUCGAUUUUGAAGGUGUCCGCUGCGAACACCCUGUUUAUCGAUAUUUUUCCACAGGUUUAAAUGGCAUAUCAAUCGAUAUAUCGCAAUUCACGCCACGCCACUGCAUUUCAUCCUUGGUAAGAGGCUGUGAUAUUUUCAGAGACAGACGGACAUAGCGACGCGUAUGUAUGAUGACGCUAGAAAGAUUGGAGAUCAAGGAUUGCGAAGCUUUGAAUUUUCAAGGUCUCGCCGUUUAUUUUUUUUUUAAAAAAAAAAAAAAAAAAAAAAGAAGACCUGUUAGUGGCGAUGUCAAAAAAAAAACGUGCCUUUCCCUCGAAAACAUGCGAAAAUGGCAGACUGAAGGCUGUAGACGGAGAAAAAAUAGGGGGACAGUUUAAACUCACGCAAUUUCAAUCGCGCGUUUAUGUGCUGAAAGAGACUAUGAGCAAAAACUACUAUUCGUAUAGAAAGUUAAUAUUUGUCAUAUAUUCUGAACUAAUAAAAAUAAUUUAAAUCUGUAAAAAGUUUGGGAAUUGUCAUACCCUCAGCUUUUUAAAAAACUUCCGUUUUUUAAAUUUGGUCCUCUGAGUGCUGAGUGACAUCAGUUUUUCCACACCUGUCUCUCACCACGCGCGCUGGGAAGGUCACAGGACGGUAGCAUGCGGCUUCAUCCUGCAAAUUGACAAAUGGAGUUUUUUGUUCGAAAUUUAAAAUUUUCAUGUUUGUGAAGACCUGACUUUACUUUUCCACGUAAUCCCAAUCUCGUUGGACACAUUGCCAUGACGAGAGCUUUUUUAUUCCAUCAGCGUAAAACUGGCGAUUCUAUUUUUCCAACCAAUUUUGUACAGCUCCUUUCACCUCAUCGUCGUCCACGGAACGUUUUUCGCCAAAACUCUUCUCUAGCUCAGGUAAUAAGUGAUAAAUCACGUGGAAUCAGAUCCUGAGGAUAAGAGGGAUGUGGAGGAGGUCUCAUUUUAAGGAGGUCAACAACUGAUUGGUCACAUGAACUGUAUUGUGCCUAGCAUUGUCAUGAAGCAGCAUUACUUGACAAGACAGAAGGCCAAGGUAUUUUCUUUGAAUGCUGAUGUGAGGCGUUUCAUGACAUCACAGUUUCUGUUUGCAUCAAAAUAUUUGUGCUUCUUUCUGAGAAAUAAAUGAGUAACACUCAUAGAGCACCCCUAAAGAUGCGCGUAAAUUUUGGACACGCGGUGGUGAGAGACGGGUGUGGGAACACUAAUGUCACGGCACUCAGGAGACCAAAAAAAAACUAAAGCUUUUUAGAAAGCUGAGGGUAUGACAAUUUUCUGCAAUUCACUGCAAAAAUAACGAUACAUUUCUUAUUUUUUUCUUUGAUUUUAUUUGUUGAUUUUAUUUGAAGAAAACGUAGUACAAAAUACAGACUUCUAACCAUUUAGAUAAGUUACAGACUACCCGGUCGUUUGUACUCACACAUUUAUUUUGUAUUUAGAAACAAAGUGUAUAAUUUCAUUGUGAAAGUUCGCUUAACACUAAUAAAAAAAAAAAAAAAAAAAAAAAAAAAAAAAAAAAAAAAAAUACAGACCGUGCCCCUAGCCAUCCCUGCAAAUGUGAAGGUUUUCGUCGCACCAAAGAGGGUGGCAACAAUUCUGCUUGCGGACGUUAGUUUCCCAGCCCGGGAUCUUGUAGGGUACGUACACUCCACAGCGAUGCCCCCUGUGAUUGCACAACGGGUAGUCCUCCCACGCAUGGAUAUCAAGGACGAUCAUGGAAAUGAACAUCAAGGCCAGCCACAAAGAAACCAUGCAUUUCAUCAUAUUCUGUUUGAAUCGAAAAAUGAAAACGUGAAUCGAUCGACAUGAAUCGAUCGACACCGAUUCGAUCGACAAAUUGUCAAAAACCCGGGACCGAUUCGAUCGACAUGAAUCGAUCGAAAAAUCAAAACGUGAAUCGAUCGACAUGAAUCGAUCGAAACCGAUUCGAUCGACAAAUUAUUAAAAAACCCGGUACCGAUUCGAUCGACAUGAAUCGAUCGAAAAAUCAAAACGUGAAUCGAUCGACAUGAAUCGAUCGACACCGAUUCGAUCGACAAAUUAUUAAAAAACACCCGGAUUGAUUCGAUCGACAUGAAUCGAUCGAAAAAUCAAAACGUGAAUCGAUCGACGUGAAUCGAUCGACACCGAUUCGAUCGACAAAAUUCGAUCGACUCACGGAUUUGUCGAUCGAUUCACGGAUUUGUCGAUCGAUUCACGGGUUUGUCGAUCCAUUCACGGGCUUGUCGAUCCAUUCACGGGCUUGUCGAUCCAUUCACGGGCUUGUCGAUCGAUUCAUGGGGUUUGUCGAUCGACUCACGGUUUUUGUCGAUCGACUCACGGAUUUGUCGAUCCAUUCACGGGUUUGUCGAUCCAUUCACGGGUUUGUCGAUCCAUUCACGGGUUUGUCGAUCGACUCACGGGUUUGUCGAUCCAUUCACGGGCUUGUCGAUCGAUUCACGGGGUUUGUCGAUCCAUUCACGGGGUUUGUCGAUCGAUUCACGGCUUUUGUCGAUCGAUUCACGGCUUUUGUCGAUCGACUCACGGGUUUGUCGAUCCAUUCACGGGUUUGUCGAUCGACUCACGGGUUUGUCGAUCGACUCACGGGUCUGUCGAUCCAUUCACGGGUUUGUCGAUCCAUUCACGGGCUUGUCGAUCGAUUCACGGGGUUUGUCGAUCCACUCACGGCUUUUGUCGAUCCAUUCACGGUUGUCGAUCGAAUCGGUGUCGAUCGAUUCACGUCGAUCGAUUCACGUUUUGAUUUUUCGAUCCAUUCAUGUCGAUCGAAUCGAUCCGGGUGUUUUUUAAUAAUUUGUCGAUCGAAUCGGUGUCGAUCGAUUCACGUCGAUCGAUUCACGUUUUGAUUUUUCGAUCGAUUCAUGUCGAUCGAAUCG